CCUACGGGUGGCAGCAGUAGGGAAUAUUGGACAAUGGGCGCAAGCCUGAUCCAGCCAUCCCGCGUGAAGGAUUAAGGCCUAUGGGUUGUAAACUUCUUUUCUCUGGGAAUAGGUACCAGAGGAAUAAGCACCGGCUAACUCCGUGCCAGCAGCCGCGGUAAUACGGAGGGUGCAAGCGUUAUCCGGAUUCACUGGGUUUAAAGGGUGCGUAGGUGGCUUUGUAAGUCAGUGGUGAAAUGCCGCAGCUCAACUGCGGAACUGCCAUUGAUACUGCUUAGCUUGAAUCAGGUCGAGGUGGAUGGAAUAUUACAUGUAGCGGUGAAAUGCUUAGAUAUGUAAUAGAACACCGAUUGCGAAGGCAGUUCACUAGGCCUGAUUGACACUGAGGCACGAAAGCGUGGGGAUCAAACAGGAUUAGAUACCCUUGUAGUC
rnacentral:rRNA from 1 species